AAUCAACGCUGGCGGCGUGCCUAACACAUGCAAGUCGAACGCGAAAGCCCCUUCGGGGGUAAGUAGAGUGGCGUCCGGGUGAGUAACACGUGGGUAAUCUGCCUUCGGGUGGGGAAUAACUCAGGGAAACUUGAGCUAAUACCGCAUAAUGCAGCGGCACCUAAUGGUGAUUAGUUGUUAAAGCGGGGGAGUCGCAAGACCUCGCGCCUGAAGAGGAGCCUGCGGCAGAUUAGCAGUUGGUAAGGUAAUGGCUUACCAAGGCUUCGAUCUGUAGCUGGUCUGAGAGGACGGCCAGCCACACUGGCACUGACACACGGGCCAGACUCCUAC
rnacentral:rRNA from 1 species